AGUGAACGCUGGCGGUAUGCCUAACACAUGCAAGUCGAACGGCAGCACAGUAAGAUCUUGCUCUUACGGGUGGCGAGUGGCGGACGGGUGAGGAAUACAUCGGAAUCUACUUUUUCGUGGGGGAUAACGUAGGGAAACUUACGCUAAUACCGCAUACGACCUACGGGUGAAAGCAGGGGAUCUUCGGACCUUUCGCGAUUGAAUGAGCCGAUGUCGGAUUAGCUAGUUGGCGGGGUAAAGGCCCACCAAGGCGACGAUCCGUAGCUGGUCUGAGAGGAUGAUCAGCCACACUGGAACUGAGACACGGUCCAGACUCCUACGGGAGGCAGCAGUGGGGAAUAUUGGACAAUGGGCGCAAGCCUGAUCCAGCCAUACCGCGUGGGUGAAGAAGGCCUUCGGGUUGUAAAGCCCUUUUGUUGGGAAAGAAAAGCAGCAGGUUAAUACCCCGCUGUUCUGACGGUACCCAAAGAAUAAGCACCGGCUAACUUCGUG
rnacentral:rRNA from 1 species